rnacentral:rRNA from 1 species
GGGUUAAGUCCCGCAACGAGCGCAACCCUUGUCACUAGUUGCCAUCAUUUAGUUGGGCACUCUAGUGAGACUGCCGGUGACAAACCGGAGGAAGGUGGGGAUGACGUCAAGUCCUCAUGGCCCUUAUGGGUAGGCUUCACACGUCAUACAAUGGUCGGUACAGAGGGUUGCCAAGCCGCGAGGUGGAGCCAAUCCCUUAAAGCCGAUCGUAGUCCGGAUCGUAGUCUGCAACUCGACUACGUGAAGUCGGAAUCGCUAGUAAUCGCAGAUCAGCAUGCUGCGGUGAAUACGUUCCCGGGUCUU